UGGGGAAUAUUGCACAAUGGGCGAAAGCCUGAUGCAGCAACGCCGCGUGAGUGAUGAAGGCCUUCGGGAUGUAAAGCUCUGUCUUUUGGGACGAUAAUGACGGUACCAAAGGAGGAAGCCACGGCUAACUACGUGCCAGCAGCCGCGGUAAUACGUAGGUGGCAAGCGUUGUCCGGAUUUACUGGGCGUAAAGGAUGCGUAGGCGGAUUUUUAAGUGAGAUGUGAAAUACCCGGGCUUAACUUGGGUGCUGCAUUUCAAACUGGGAAUCUAGAGUGCGGGAGAGGAGAAUGGAAUUCCUAGUGUAGCGGUGAAAUGCGUAGAGAUUAGGAAGAACACCAGUGGCGAAGGCGAUUCUCUGGACCGUAACUGACGCUGAGGCAUGAAAGCGUGGGUAGCAAACAGGAUUAGAUACCCUGGUAGUCCACGCCGUAAACGAUGAGUACUAGGUGUAGGAGGUAUCGACCCCUUCUGUGCCGCAGUUAACACAAUAAGUACUCCGCCUGGGAAGUACGAUCGCAAGAUUAAAACUCAAAUGAAUUGACGGGGUC
rnacentral:rRNA from 1 species